rnacentral:rRNA from 1 species
GACGAACCGUGCGAACGUUGUUCGGAAUCACUGGGCUUAAAGGGCGCGUAGGCGGCUGCACAAGUCCGGGGUGAAAGCCCCCAGCUCAACUGGGGAAGUGCCUUGGAUACUGUGCAGCUCGAGCGAGAUAGGGGUCGUGGGAACUUCCGGUGGAGCGGUGAAAUGCGUUGAUAUCGGAAGGAACGCCGGUGGCGAAAGCGCACGACUGGAUCUCUUCUGACGCUGAGGCGCGAAAGCGUGGGGAGCAAACAGG